GACGUAGGGCGCGAGCGUUGUCCGGAUUUAUUGGGCGUAAAGAGCUCGUAGGCGGCUUGUCGCGUCGUCCGUGAAAACCUGCAGCUCAACUGCAGGCUUGCGGUCGAUACGGGCAGGCUGGAGUUCGGUAGGGGAGACUGGAAUUCCGGGUGUAGCGGUGAAAUGCGUAGAUAUCCGGAGGAACACCGGUGGCGAAGGCGGUUCUCUAGUACGGUACUGACGCUGAGACGCGAAAGCGUGGGGAGCGAACAGG
rnacentral:rRNA from 1 species